UGGAAGUUUACCCAAGACAGGAAGGGAA
rnacentral:piRNA from 1 species